rnacentral:rRNA from 1 species
AGAGUUUGAUCCUGGCUCAGGAUGAACGCUGGCGGCGUUGCUUUAACACAUGCAAGUCGAACGGAGUUUUACAUGAAGCCUAGCGAUUGUAAACUUAGUGGCGACGGGUGAGUAACGCGUGGGUAACCUGCCUUAUACCGGGGGAUUAACACUUUAGAAAUAGGUGCUAAUACCGCAUAAGCGCACGAGGCUGCAUGGCCUAGUGUGAAAAACUCCGGUGGUAUAAGAUGGACCCGCGUCUGAUUAGCUAGUUGGUGAGGUAACGGGCCCACCCAAGGCGACGAUCAGUAGCCGGCCUGAGAGGGUGAACGGCCACAUUGGGACUGAGACACGGCCCAAACUCCUACGGGAGGCAGCAGUGGGGAAUAUUGGACAAUGGGGAAACCCUGAUCCAGCGACGCCGCGUGAGUGAAGAAGUAUUUCGGUAAUGUAAAGCUCUAAUCAGCAGGGAAGAUAAUGACGGUACCUGACUAAGAAGCCCCGGCUAACUACGUGCC